rnacentral:rRNA from 1 species
UACGAAGGGGGCUAGCGUUGCUCGGAAUCACUGGGCGUAAAGGGCGCGUAGGCGGCCGAUUAAGUCGGGGGUGAAAGCCUGUGGCUCAACCACAGAAUUGCCCUCGAUACUGGUUGGCUUGAGACCGGAAGAGGACAGCGGAACUGCGAGUGUAGAGGUGAAAUUCGUAGAUAUUCGCAAGAACACCAGUGGCGAAGGCGGCUGUCUGGUCCGGUUCGUGACGCUGAGGCGCGAAAGCGUGGGGAGCAAACAGG